rnacentral:rRNA from 1 species
GACGGAGGGGGCUAGCGUUGUUCGGAAUUACUGGGCGUAAAGAGUGCGUAGGCGGUUUAGUAAGUUGGAAGUGAAAGCCCGAGGCUUAACCUCGGAACUGCUUUCAAAACUACUAAUCUAGAGUGUAGUAGGGGAUGAUGGAAUUCCUAGUGUAGAGGUGAAAUUCUUAGAUAUUAGGAGGAACACCGGUGGCGAAGGCGGUCAUCUAGGCUACAACUGACGCUGAUGCACGAAAGCGUGGGGAGCAAACGGG